rnacentral:rRNA from 1 species
GGAAUAUUGGGCAAUGGGAGAAAUCCUGACCCAGCAACGCCGCGUGAGGGAAGAAGGUUUUCGGAUCGUAAACCUCUGUCCUUGGUGAAGAGAGAGAGACGGUAGCCAAGGAGGAAGCCCCGGCUAACUACGUGCCAGCAGCCGCGGUAAUACGUAGGGGGCGAGCGUUGUCCGGAAUGACUGGGCGUAAAGGGCGUGUAGGCGGCCUGAUAAGUCUGGAGUGAAAGUCCUGCUUUUAAGGUGGGAAUUGCUUUGGAUACUGUCGGGCUUGAGUGCGGAAGAGGUAAGUGGAAUUCCCAGUGUAGCGGUGAAAUGCGUAGAGAUUGGGAGGAACACCAGUGGCGAAGGCGACUUACUGGGCCGUAACUGACGCUGAGGCGCGAAAGCGUGGGGAGCGAACA